GACGUAGGGCGCGAGCGUUGUCCGGAUUUAUUGGGCGUAAAGAGCUCGUAGGCGGCUUGUCGCGUCGACUGUGAAAACCCGCGGCUCAACCGUGUGGUCUGCAGUCGAUACGGGCAGGCUAGAGUUCGGUAGGGGAGACUGGAAUUCCUGGUGUAGCGGUGAAAUGCGCAGAUAUCAGGAAGAACACCCGUGGCUAAGGCGGUUCUCUAGUACGGUACUGACGCUGAGACGCGAAAGCGUGGGGAGCGAACAGG
rnacentral:rRNA from 1 species